UAUUAAUUCAUUAAAAAUUACCAGAAGUGGGGGCUCAAUUUGCUGCAAAAGGAGGUGUUAGUUCUGAAAGGUUCAUUUUCAGCACGGUUUUGUGGUUACUGGAAGAUCUUUCAGAGCUGAACCUGGGAACAGCAUCACUCAAUGGCUCGUUAGUUUGAUGAAGUGGCAUAAGUGACUCCAGCUCCCGAGGGUACUCCCAGCUCCGGAACAUUUACACAUCCCCAGGGAAUUCUGAAAAACACCACCAAGUCUUUAGGCCACAUUUCCAACCUCGCUUGUGACGAUCUUGUACCGGGGCCUUCAAGAGAGAGCUCUCCCUCUUCAGUGACCUCAGCCUUGUAACCGAGUUUCUGUUCUUUCCCUCUGAUAGGGAUGUGUUUUGAGGCUUUUUUUGCAUUGGUAUAUCUUGAUCAUUUAUUUGUUUAUACUGUUGAUAAAUGCAUUUUUCUCUCAUAAACACACCCUCCUCCAUCUGCUGUGAAAGGCAAGGGGAACAAUGAAUGGUGUAUUUCAAGGGUCAGGGCUUGUUCUCCUGGCUGGCUGAACAGGUACCUCUCUUCCCAGAACCUGGAUCGGCUUGGGCUGCGUUUUCUCUGUGCUCAGGGUGGGAUCUGCUGCUCCUGUGUGGUCUGGGGCAACAGGAGAUGGAUGGAAGCUCAAGUCCAGCCAUUUCUUGUUGUCCUGUCUCCAGGAGAGCACUGAGGCCACAGCUGUCCAAACUGUGCCAGGGAAUGCCUGUCUCCGAGGCUCCGAUCAGCUCUGACUUUUUUAUGCCUCUGAUUUCUUUUUUCCCUUGUCUCUCAUGAUUGACAUUUGUCUGUUCUGGGCCUUGUUUGCUUGCUCUGCACUUGUGGGGAGCCUGGAGCAGUGCGGUGUUUUCAUGUCAGGCGGGUUAAGGGUGAGGAACAUUACACAUGCACACUGAUUUAUGCCUCAGAGGCUGCAAAUCGUGUCAAGUGUGAUCUCAGCACAGCUCUGCUCCAUGACUCAAGCACUCGGUGCAAUGUUACACUCUCAGACAUCAAUCCUCAGCCAGGCAAGGGAGAACUCCUCCAGAGCAUCCAUAAAGUCCUGGGCUGGGAGAGUUGUUAGUUAUUCAUGAGAUAAUAAUGGUGUUUGCAAUGUUCAUGCCAAAGCCAGAAUCCCAUAAUCACUGAGGCUGGAAAAGACCUCCAA